AUACCUUUCUCGGCCUUUUGGCUAAGAUCAAGUGUGGUAUCUGUUCUUAUCAGUUUAAUAUCUGAUAAAUGGGAACCUACGGGUUCCCAGGGUGAACCUUGAUAUUAAUUUUUUUAUAGGGAAAGGACCUUCUACUUAUAUAUUUUUUUAUAGGGAAAGGACCUUCAUAGUAGUUUGCUACAUAUAUGUUUGCCCUCU
rnacentral:snRNA from 1 species